UGGGGAAUAUUGCACAAUGGGCGCAAGCCUGAUGCAGCCAUGCCGCGUGUAUGAAGAAGGCCUUCGGGUUGUAAAGUACUUUCAGCGGGGAGGAAGGCGAUAAGGUUAAUAACCUUGUCGAUUGACGUUACCCGCAGAAGAAGCACCGGCUAACUCCGUGCCAGCAGCCGCGGUAAUACGGAGGGGGCAAGCGUUAAUCGGAAUUACUGGGCGUAAAGCGCACGCAGGCGGUCUGUCAAGUCGGAUGUGAAAUCCCCGGGCUCAACCGGGGAACUGCAUUCGAAACUGGCAGGCUAGAGUCUUGUAGAGGGGGGUAGAAUUCCAGGUGUAGCGGUGAAAUGCGUAGAGAUCUGGAGGAAUACCGGUGGCGAAGGCGGCCCCCUGGACAAAGACUGACGCUCAGGUGCGAAAGCGUGGGGAGCAAACA
rnacentral:rRNA from 1 species